ensembl:rRNA 5S_rRNA 5S ribosomal RNA
GCCUACAGCCAUCCCACCCUGGUAACGCCCGAUCUCGUCUGAUCUCGGAAGCUAAGCAGGGUCGGGCCUGGUUAGUACUUGGAUGGGAGACCUCCUGGGAAUACCGGGUGCUGUAGGCU